rnacentral:rRNA from 1 species
UACGUAGGUGGCAAGCGUUGUCCGGAAUUAUUGGGCGUAAAGCGCUCGCAGGCGGUCUUUUAAGUCUGAUGUGAAAUCUCGUGGCUCAACCACGAACGGUCAUUGGAAACUGGGGGACUUGAGUGCAGAAGAGGAAAGUGGAAUUCCACGUGUAGCGGUGAAAUGCGUAGAGAUGUGGAGGAACACCAGUGGCGAAGGCGACUCUCUGGUCUGUAACUGACGCUGAGGAGCGAAAGCGUGGGGAGCGAACAGG